rnacentral:rRNA from 1 species
AAUGAACGCUGGCGGCAUGCCUAACACAUGCAAGUCGAACGAAGGCUUCGGCCUUAGUGGCGCACGGGUGCGUAACGCGUGGGAAUCUGCCCUUGGGUUCGGAAUAACAGUUAGAAAUGACUGCUAAUACCGGAUGAUGUCGUAAGACCAAAGAUUUAUCGCCCAAGGAUGAGCCCGCGUAGGAUUAGCUAGUUGGUUGGGUAAAGGCCUACCAAGGCGACGAUCCUUAGCUGGUCUGAGAGGAUGAUCAGCCACACUGGGACUGAGACACGGCCCAGACUCCUACGGGAGGCAGCAGUGGGGAAUAGUGGACAAUGGGCGAAAGCCUGAUCCAGCAAUGCCGCGUGAGUGAUGAAGGCCUUAGGGUUGUAAAGCUCUUUUACCCGGGAUGAUAAUGACAGUACCAGGAGAAUAAGCUCCGGCUAACUUCGUG